AUGCUCAACCCCCCCCCGGCCUCCUGGGACUCGUCUCCGGUCUCUGCACCCUUCCCCUCUCCCAGAGGCAGCGUGUCUCUGGAGCUCUCUCACGCAUCUGCCGCGGAGAGGAACAACAGCUGCCUGCCCACGAACAGCACGGGGAGAGGAAACAGCUCUCAGCUCUGGAAGGAAAAAAAAAAGCCAACAGCACAACCUCGCUCUGGGUUCACCUCUGCAUUUGAGAAAAUCCUGGCGCACCUCCGUGCUGUGACCUCUCUCCAGCUGAGCACGACACCUGGCUGCUCUGUCACCUCCUCCCCUCCAGCAACAGCUACCAGCCCAGGGCACUUCCUGCAUCCUGGUGUCAUCUGGGAGAAAGGGCCGGGAAGGCAAGUCUUACAUCAGCCUCCAACGCGCCAGUCAUACUGAGCAAAGCAGAGAAUUAGAAAACUGCUCUCGAGUGGAGAUCUGCAUCAGUGAGCAAAGGAACACACGAAGGUUAAUUCCACACUGAAAAACAGAAAAAUAGAAGUGUUUCGCCUUUCUGUUUUUCAAAGUAGAAUUAACCUCUUCACUGUGUAUCAUAUUAUGGGGAUUAUAAUAAUUAGAAAUCCUACCAAAGCCAGGACAGGAUGAACAUCCAUAAAGUGAACUCCAGAAAAUUCAUAUUAUAUUUAUUCCAUGCCCUUUAAUGGGAUUUUACUAAGUAUGUCCAAUGAGCCAUGUCAUGGGCAGGGGGCUGACAGAAAGGUGAACAAGAUAGGUGUCUAAUCAUCCUUUGCCUGGGCAAUGUCAAUUUGCUUUCAAAUUGCAGAUCCUUGUCAUGUGGGAUUCAGUCCUGUUCCUCUUCUCUGUUCACUGGUCUCUCAGCUCCAGAUGUUGUCCCAGUUCACCUCACAAAGGUUCAGUGGAGCUCAAGUCUGGUCAGUAGGACUAUCAUAUCAUAAGUUCACAUUUCCCAAAAAAGCCAUUUCAGCAGAGUAGCAUGAGGACUUCUAGAUUGUUGUCCACGUCCUGCAGGAAAGAUGGAUGAAAGUCAGGAUGAGACUACAGGAAGAGCAGUCAAGUCCCAGGACUUGAUCAAUGUAGCACCACAUGGUCAGGCUGCCAUCUAUCACUAUACAUGGAGCUCUGCAGUGCCUAGACGCUGUCAGCCAUAUCAUCACACACCAAACCUUGAUUCUUCAUGAAGAUGACUUGAUUCACUGCUGGUGAGCGUUGCUCAUGCCAUCCCAAUCUGUAACGUAGUUGAACACUGGUGAGCUCUGGGCCCCUGUGUGGUCACCUGUACUGGAAACCACAGCUGUUUAACUGCCUCUCCACACUUGAGCUGCUGGUGUGCAGUUUGUGGUGCCCUGGAGUGUCCGAUGCCGUGGAACUGGCAGUGUAAAAAACGAUCAUGAAGAUGGACAAUGCUGAAAUGUCAAACUUAGUGAGGUGUCUCAUGAAAAAUAAAUGCAAAAAUUCAUAAAAGAAUGGGCAAAGCACUUUACCAAUUGCGGGAGGUGAGUGUGACUAACCCUUCACUUCAAAAGAAAAGGUUCUGUAUUCUGACGUAAUUAUGGUUUUAACCGGACGCAGCCUCUAUCUCUCUGUCUGUAAUGGUCAACAAUCUAGAGGGCUUUGCAAGACAUUGUCACGAUUGUAGUCCUUCCCCCUUAAGGGCGCUCCGGCUUGUUCACAUUUUAGUUGAUUUUGUGCACCUGCUCCCUGUUCCUGCCUCCUUACAAAAGCCAGACGCUCACUCUGUUCCGGGCUCUGCAUUGGAUUCCUGAACCAGCCCAAUCCGGGACCUGGAGCGCCUGGUUUCCCGCCCCCCCCAAUCCCUUCCGGAUUGUGUUGUCUGCAUAGGGUCCUGAAAGACGCUUCGUAAAGGACAUACUGUAACCUAUACUGUCCAGAGGAGUGAAAAAAGUCUGAUAGAGGGAUAACCUGUGUUUUUUAAGUUUGUAUGUACUUAGUUUUCCAUCUCAGUGCUGUUAACUGUUACCCGCUACCCUCUCAAGUGCCACAGAAUUGUUUUGUGGUGUGUGUUUCAAAAAUAAAUCAUUUCAUAACUUCAGGAUUUUGGUUAUCGCCUUAGUUGAUGGGAACUGAUUACUGCCUUUUAUUAUGGGCCAAAAUAAAGUCUCUGUUUCGA
ensembl:lincRNA